AGAGAGAGAGAGAGAGAGAGAGAGAGAGAGAGAUGCUGGAAAUGUGAACUCAGAUCCUCGGGAGGAACAGCAAACGCCCCUAACCACUGAACUAUCCUUCAUCCCCUGAUCCCACUUAUUUAAAACAACUACCUCUAUCUGUCCUUCCUCAUACUCCUGACUUGUCAAUGUCCUAGGAUAGGGAGGGAGCUGUCAGGUAGGUUCAAGUGUUCCUGGACACAUGGCCUUUUCUCCUCCUGCCCUUCUCUUUCCCAUCCUCUUCCCUCCUGUGGUCCUCCUCUUCCUGGGACACCACACCCUCCCUCUUCUGGGCACUCACUCUUUCUUCUCUGCUGGAUUUCUUUCAGAUACUUGAAGGUGAUGUUCUGCCAGUCAUCAAGUGAUCUGAAAUUAUUCUUACUGCCAUGGUUGAUCACCUGGACCAUUGACAAAGGCAAAAAAUAUAGGUCCCUUGGUAAAACAACAGACUUUAUCUCUCCCAACUUCCCAUGUGCCUUUUUAGGUAGAGAGUACAACGCAGUGCCUGGCUGUGAGCCAGAAGACCCAUGGGCCCUGGUAGACUCUGCCUGCCUCUUACCUUGAGAAGCGUGACAAGCAAAUGCAGCUAGUUUAUGGAAUAAUGGGGAUUUGCAGGAUGGUGAAGAGCCACAGGAAUAUGAGGGCCACAGAGGCUCUGAAGCAAGUCCUGACAGAGCAGUGCAUUGCGUCUGCACUGGGAUACGGCUUCUACAAUGAGAGGAGCCUGACAGAACACAACCCUGUUCCCUUCCUGGAGAGAGAAGGUCACCUAUCCGAUGAUGACAUGACAUAUGCUGCCUCUCUUCAUCUAUUUGUUUGGAGUUUCAACUCUCCUAAACUUUCCCCUUCUCAGAAUGAUAAGGGCUAGCUGGAAUGUUAUUAGCAUGUCAGUUUGUACUAGGAAACAGAUGGGCAUUGUAUUCUCUGCAUUUAAAACAAAAAAUAA